rnacentral:lncRNA from 1 species
UUUAAGCAAUUUCUGUGAGUCUGAUUGUAAUUUCUGUGUUCCUCUUAGGUGGGGGAGAAAAAAUAAGAGUGGAUAAAAGAAAGAAAGAAAACAGAGAAAGGUGGGAAAAAAAAAACAAAGGAAGGAAGAGAGAAAAGAGAAUGAGAGGAAGAGAAGGAAGGGGAAAAACAAGAUUGACUUUACAGUAUGAGAUAUACUAUUAUAUAUUGGACCCUUGGUGGGCAGUGCCUAAACAGAGACAACUACAGGUUUCUGGCUGUGGCCACUCUCUGGUGAAACUAAGGGGUUUCUGUGUGGAGGUGCCUAACAGCCACCGUCCAGUUUGGGUAAAGAAAGCUUUUUAUGGUUCACUAAGGACAAUCAACCCCUUCGCAAUCUAGAACCAAAAGACUGGAUCUUCUGAGAACAUCUACUGUAAGAACUAUAGUUACACAACAGACUUUGAAUUCUCUUGUGAAAGUUAAGGUAGAAUUGGCUGAACAGAGGAGUAUCUGUGCGGCUGCUGGCAUUUGUGGCUUAUGGAGAAACACAUUAAAUGAAGAUUACAGAGAUUCAUUGGCAGGGGAUUAACAGAGAUUGCUUAAUUAAGUGAGUAGGCUCACUAUCUAGCUCAUUCUUUGAUCUAUUUGAUUUUAGGUGGUUUGGUUUAUGGGGACCCGGGGAAAGAAGCAUACUCCAAACUCUUAGUAUUAUCCUCCCGAUGGUUAUAAUAAUAGUUGUCCUGUUGUGCUGUAUUUUCUGAAAGGUUUUAAAUGCUUGCAUGCAGCCAUCUCUAGAAUGUCAAAUGGUCUCUCUUCAACUGGAAUGACAAGAGCUUAAAGAAACAUGUGACCAUGAGGAAACCAUAAACUAUGAAUAAUGUGUUGAGACCAGAAACCCAAAAUGAUGGUAACUGAGUGGUGCUAAGGCCCUAAGUUUUGGUCACACUCUCACCUAAGUGAGAACUUGACCAAAAAGGAGGGAAGUUUUUAAAACAAAAUUGUGGGAAGUCAUUUGUUUUGAUUGAGUUCAUGCACUCAGCCCCAACAGAUCAAACCAAACCAAAAUGGAGUUGCUUGUGUUAAGACUAUAAGGAAACAGAUACAUUCUAGAACAGACCAUGUUUUGUUUUUCUCCUGCAAAUCUCUGUAACAAACAUUCCUGACAACAUAGGCAUCCACUCCCUGAAGUUCCCAUUAAGUCUUUUAACUAAAUUCACUUCCUCUGGCCUAGAGACCAUCAAGCUUCAGAUGCUCAUGUGACAAGGGUUCCAGCCAGUUCCAGGUGAAGACACCACUCCUAGCCAUCAAGGAACUACCCUGUCUCCACUAGACAGAGAAGGUAGUAUGAUGCCUCUGGCUUCCCUCUAUCACACGUCUUCUUUUCGAGUAAAGGUUUUUCAUAAAUGUGAGCGUGGAAGAAGAAACCAGUUAAAUAUGGAACUUCACACCAGGACACAAAAGGACUUCAAACUUUUAGAUUCCACAAGUAUGUGAAAAGAUGCAGUAUUUGUCUUUCUGUGCAUGGUUUACUUCACUUAUCAUCAUGUCCCUCAGGUUCAUCCACGUUGUUGCAAAUGACAGGAUUUCAUUCAUUUUUAAGACUGAAUAGUACUCCAUUAUGCAAAUAUACCAGAUUUUCAUUGUCUAUUCGUUCACUGAUGAACACGGGUUAAUCCUAUAUGUUGGCUAUUGUGAAUAAAGCUGCAAUGAAUAUGAGAGUACAGAUAUAUUCUUGACAUAUUAAUUUUAUUUUAUUUGGCAAUAUACCCAAUAGUAGCUAGAUCAUAUCAGAGUUCUAUUUUUAAUUUUUGAGGAAACUUCAUACUGUUUUUCAUAAUAGUUAUUACUAAUUUACACUCAGUAUACAAGAGUUCCCUUUUCUCCACAUUCUUUCCAAAAUUUGUUUCCUUUUCCCUUUUUGAUAACAGCUACUCUAACUGGGGUGAAAUAAUAUCUCACUGUGGUUUUAAUUUUCAUUUAUCUGAUUAAUGAUUUUGAGCUUUUUAAAAUAAAUACU